rnacentral:rRNA from 1 species
CGGCGGACGGGUGAGUAACGCGUGGGCAACCUGCCUCACACAGGGGGAUAACAGUUAGAAAUGACUGCUAAUACCGCAUAAGACCACAGCACCGCAUGGUGCAGGGGUAAAAACUCCGGUGGUAUGAGAUGGACCCGCGUCUGAUUAGUUAGUUGGUGGGGUAACGGCCUACCAAGGCGGCGAUCAGUAGCCGACCUGAGAGGGUGACCGGCCACAUUGGGACUGAGACACGGCCCAAACUCCUACGGGAGGCAGCAUG